rnacentral:lncRNA from 1 species
UGGGACCAAGGCUCCUGCAGGAUGAUGUGUGUCCAUCCGUCCAACCUCUCCGCAUCGCUUCUCCCCAGAAGCAGAGAUGCACUCACGGGGCCGGGACUGCGCUGUGCACAGCUGGGACAGCUGGGACAUGGUGAUACUGCCACGACGUGGGGACACGGCAACCCACUCCCCAGACAUGGAGCUGGGGACUGCCGGGGGGACAGCCCAGCAGGGUGUGGGGCAGGUGGGCUCAGAGACCUGCAGGGAGGAGAAGAGCCCAUGGUGAGCACCAGGCUGCAGCAUCUGGGAAACGUGUGUGGCCGCAGCGGCCCAACGGCUUCACCCGCCUUCCAAACCAGAUGAAGUUUUGCA